CUCUCUUCCGUCUGUCUCGCGCAUGUGUAGUCCUCUUUACGACUCGGCUGGCGAAGAUGGCGGACACACAGAACGAGAGGGCUUAUCAGAAACAGCCCACCAUCUUCCAGAACAAGAAGCGGGUUCUGGCUGUUGAAGGAAGUGGCAAA